UCAGCGAGUGCAGUUUGCUCUUCCAAA
rnacentral:piRNA from 1 species